UUAAAAAGCUCGUAGUUGAAUUUCUAGUCAACCGUUAGCUGGCUUCACAGUCGUUAACGAUUGCCUAUCCGACAUUGAACUGUAAUGGUUAUUAAGUUAACCUUAUAGCGAACUGUCAUUUUACUUUGAAAAAAUUAGAGUGUUACAGGCAGGCAAUUGCCCGAAUAUCUUAGCAUGGAAUAAUGGAAUAGGACUUUGGUUCAUUUGAUUGGUUAUUGAAUCAGAGUAAUGAUUAAUAGGGACAGUUGGGGGCAUUAGUAUUUAAUUGUCAGAGGUGAAAUUCUUGGAUUUAUUAAAGACUAACUUAUGCGAAAGCAUUUGCCAAGGAUGUUUUCAUUAAUCAAGAACGAAAGUUAGGGGAUCAAAGACGAUCAGAUACCGUCCUAGUCUUAACUAUAAACUAUACCGAUUCAGGAUUGGCGAUGCCAAAGCUUCGUCAGCACUGUAUGAGAAAUUAAAGUCUUUGGGUUCUGGGGGGAGUAUGGU
rnacentral:rRNA from 1 species